rnacentral:rRNA from 1 species
UGGGGAAUAUUGGACAAUGGGCGGAAGCCUGAUCCAGCCAUGCCGCGUGUGUGAAGAAGGCCUUUUGGUUGUAAAGCACUUUAAGCGAGGAGGAGGCUCUUCUAGUUAAUACCUAGGAUGAGUGGACGUUACUCGCAGAAUAAGCACCGGCUAACUCUGUGCCAGCAGCCGCGGUAAUACAGAGGGUGCGAGCGUUAAUCGGAUUUACUGGGCGUAAAGCGUGCGUAGGCGGCUGAUUAAGUCGGAUGUGAAAUCCCUGAGCUUAACUUAGGAAUUGCAUUCGAUACUGGUCAGCUAGAGUAUGGGAGAGGAUGGUAGAAUUCCAGGUGUAGCGGUGAAAUGCGUAGAGAUCUGGAGGAAUACCGAUGGCGAAGGCAGCCAUCUGGCCUAAUACUGACGCUGAGGUACGAAAGCAUGGGGAGCAAACAGG